rnacentral:rRNA from 1 species
UACAGAGGGGGCAAGCGUUGUUCGGAAUUACUGGGCGUAAAGCGUAUGCAGGCGGACUUUUAAGUCGGGGGUGAAAUCCCGAGGCUCAACCUCGGAACUGCCUUCGAUACUGGAAGUCUUGAGUCCGGGAGAGGUGAGUGGAACUCCGAGUGUAGAGGUGAAAUUCGUAGAUAUUCGGAAGAACACCAGUGGCGAAGGCGGCUCACUGGCCCGGUACUGACGCUGAGAUACGAAAGCGUGGGGAGCAAACAGG